rnacentral:lncRNA from 1 species
CAGAGCCAAAGGAUCUGAUUACCCUUGGAUUGUUUUAGAAUCUCUCUCUCUUUCUCUCUCACAGCUAGCAGAAAUGUCUCUUGCUGCACUUACCUCAUUCCAGCAUUGAAAAAGCCUAUUCUUUUGACAAAUAUAUACAAGCAAAGAGCUAAUGGGGUAGCUCCAUCUAUUUGAAGAAACGUUUAAAUUCUUCUGUAAUUGAUUCCUAAUUUGCUUGGUAUGUGUACAUUUUACACCUUUUCCUUGACAAGUAAGCCAAGAUUGUGUGGUGGUUUUCAUCGUGGCCUGAAGUGUAGAAGAGAAGGAGAAUGAGGAAGAAAAUAUUUUUCAGAUUUUACAGAGAGAAGGACUGAGAUUUUCAAUCUGUUGUGGAAUCCACUGGAAUAAGCGAAGUCACUCACGCCAGGCAGCUUCACUGAACGCAUUUUAUACUUUAGGUUUCUGACACAAUCUCAGAGCAAAGAGGAACCUCUCCAAGGACCUAACCAGAUGCAAGCCUGAUUCAUCUCCAUAUCUGCCUUCUCCAGAGACACUACUAUCAAGAAUCUGGUAUGUUUUCUUUCAGACUGCAUUUUCAUACCUUUGUUACAAUAUAUAUGCAGUCAAAACAAUAACUAUGCUUUGCAUAUUUUGAAUUUUACCUAAUACUAUCAUAUUGUUC